ACGGGGCUAAACCAUGCACCGAAGCUGCGGCAGCGAACGUAUCACCCAAGACAACUUUACGGAGUUGACGAUUGACGGAGCGAAGCGACGUCAAAGCGUUCAUUAAAGUCGAGUUGGCUUAGGGAUACGUUCGUUGGGUAGGGGAGCGUUCUGUAAGCCUGUGAAGGUGUGUCGUGAGGCAUGCUGGAGGUAUCAGAAGUGCGAAUGCUGACAUAAGUAACGAUAAAGCGGGUGAAAAGCCCGCUCGCCGGAAGACCAAGGGUUCCUGUCCAACGUUAAUCGGGGCAGGGUGAGUCGACCCCUAAGGCGAGGCCGAAAGGCGUAGUCGAUGGGAAACGGGUUAAUAUUCCCGUACUUGGUGUUACUGCGAAGGGGGGACGGAGAAGGCUAUGUUGGCCGGGCGACGGUUGUCCCGGUUUAAGCGUGUAGGUGUGUGUUCCAGGUAAAUCCGGUUCACUUUAACACUGAGGCGUGACGACGAGGCACUACGGUGCUGAAGCAACAAAUGCCCUGCUUCCAGGAAAAGCCUCUAAGCAUCAGGUAACACGAAAUCGUACCCCAAACCGACACAGGUGGUCAGGUAGAGAAUACCAAGGCGCUUGAGAGAACUCGGGUGAAGGAACUAGGCAAAAUGGUGCCGUAACUUCGGGAGAAGGCACGCUGACACGUAGGUGAAGUGAUUUACUCAUGGAGCUGAAGUCAGUCGAAGAUACCAGCUGGCUGCAACUGUUUAUUAAAAACACAGCACUGUGCAAACACGAAAGUGGACGUAUACGGUGUGACGCCUGCCCGGUGCCGGAA
rnacentral:rRNA from 1 species